rnacentral:rRNA from 1 species
AGAGUUUGAUCCUGGCUCAGGAUGAACGCUAGCGACAGGCUUAACACAUGCAAGUCGAGGGGCAGCAUGAUUUGUAGCAAUACAGAUUGAUGGCGACCGGCGCACGGGUGAGUAACGCGUAUGCAACUUACCUAUCAGAGGGGGAUAGCCCGGCGAAAGUCGGAUUAAUACCCCAUAAAACAGGGGUCCCGCAUGGGAAUAUUUGUUAAAGAUUCAUCGCUGAUAGAUAGGCAUGCGUUCCAUUAGGCAGUUGGCGGGGUAACGGCCCACCAAACCGACGAUGGAUAGGGGUUCUGAGAGGAAGGUCCCCCACAUUGGUACUGAGACACGGACCAAACUCCUACGGGAGGCAGCAGUGAGGAAUAUUGGUCAAUGGACGCAAGUCUGAACCAGCCAUGCCGCGUGCAGGAAGACGGCUCUAUGAGUUGUAAACUGCUUUUGUACUAGGGUAAACUCAGAUACGUGUAUCUGACUGAAAGUAUAGUACGAAUAAGGAUCGGCUAACUCCGUGCCAGCAGCCGCGGUAAUACGGAGGAUCCAAGCGUUAUCCGGAUUUAUUGGGUUUAAAGGGUGCGUAGGCGGUUUGAUAAGUUAGAGGUGAAAUACCGGUGCUUAACACCGGAACUGCCUCUAAUACUGUUGAGCUAGAGAGUAGUUGCGGUAGGCGGAAUGUAUGGUGUAGCGGUGAAAUGCUUAGAGAUCAUACAGAACACCGAUUGCGAAGGCAGCUUACCAAACUAUAUCUGACGUUGAGGCACGAAAGCGUGGGGAGCAAACAGGAUUAGAUACCCUGGUAGUCCACGCAGUAAACGAUGAUAGCUCGUUGUCGGCGAUACACAGUCGGUGACUAAGAGAAAUCGAUAAGCUAUCCACCUGGGGAGUACGUUCGCAAGAAUGAAACUCAAAGGAAUUGACGGGGGCCCGCACAAGCGGAGGAACAUGUG